rnacentral:rRNA from 1 species
CACUCCUGCGGGAGGCAGCAGUGGGGAAUAUUGGACAAUGGGCGCAAGCCUGAUCCAGCCAUGCCGCGUGAGUGAUGAAGGCCCUAGGGUUGUAAAGCUCUUUCACCGGUGAAGAUAAUGACGGUAACCGGAGAAGAAGCCCCGGCUAACUUCGUGCCAGCAGCCGCGGUAAUACGAAGGGGGCUAGCGUUGUUCGGAUUUACUGGGCGUAAAGCGCACGUAGGCGGACUAUUAAGUCAGGGGUGAAAUCCCGGGGCUCAACCCCGGAACUGCCUUUGAUACUGGUAGUCUUGAGUUCGAGAGAGGUGAGUGGAAUUCCGAGUGUAGAGGUGAAAUUCGUAGAUAUUCGGAGGAACACCAGUGGCGAAGGCGGCUCACUGGCUCGAUACUGACGCUGAGGUGCGAAAGCGUGGGGAGCAAACAGGAUUAGAAACCCCGGUAGUCCCCA